GAUGCACGCUGGCGGCGUGCCUAAUACAUGCAAGUCGAGCGAACAGAUGAGGAGCUUGCUCCUCCGACGUUAGCGGCGGACGGGUGAGUAACACGUGGAUAACCUACCUAUAAGACUGGGAUAACUUCGGGAAACCGGAGCUAAUACCGGAUAAUAUAUUGAACCGCAUGGUUCAAUAGUGAAAGACGGUUUUGCUGUUACUUAUAGAUGGAUCCGCGCCGCAUUAGCUAGUUGGUAAGGUAACGGCUUACCAAGGCAACGAUGCGUAGCCGACCUGAGAGGGUGAUCGGCCACACUGGAACUGAGACACGGUCCAGACUCCUACGGGAGGCAGCAGUAGGGAAUCUUCCGAAAUGGGCGAAAGCCUGACGGAGCAACGCCGCGUGAGUGAUGAAGGUCUUCGGAUCGUAAAACUCUGUUAUUAGGGAAGAACAAAUGUGUAAGUAACUAUGCACGUCUUGACGGUACCUAAUCAGAAAGCCACGGCUAACUACGUG
rnacentral:rRNA from 1 species